rnacentral:rRNA from 1 species
GACGUAGGGCGCGAGCGUUGUCCGGAUUUAUUGGGCGUAAAGAGCUCGUAGGCGGCUCAUUGCGUCAACCGUGAAAACCAGCAGCUCAACUGUUGGCUUGCGGUUGAUACGGGUGGGCUGGAGUUCGGUAGGGGAGACUGGAAUUCCUGGUGUAGCGGUGAAAUGCGCAGAUAUCAGGAGGAACACCAAUUGCGAAGGCAGCUCGCUGGGACGUGACUGACGCUGAGACGCGAAAGCGUGGGGAGCAAACAGG